CGUGGAAACUCAAUAAAUUUUCCUUCCAAGGGGGUGAGGCAUGGAAUGUUCUAGAAGCUGGGUACCGGGGCCGAUAUAAAUAUGGGUCGGCCGCCAUAAUACGACACUCGCUCUCCAACGUUGCCCAGCUUCGGAACUACUGUGUGCUUGCUACCUGGAACAAGACUGAAAAAAAUUCAAAAGUGUUGUUUU